rnacentral:lncRNA from 1 species
AACACAUCACCAUCCUAUAAAGUCGAAUAUUCUAAAAGAGAUCUAGGGCGUGUUUGGUUUGCUUCUUUUUCAUUCUGGAAUUAGAAUUGGAAUGGACAAAUUCGUUUGUGAAUGUUUGAUACACGGGAGUCUCAUUCCGAUUUCGAUUAUCGAGUGGAAUGGAAAUUUCCUAAUCACCUUUUUUUUUUCAAUCCAGCUUAGGAGGUCGGAUUGGAAAUUAAAUCUGGACAGAAUGGAUAUUUAUUUGGAUUAAAUUUAUAUUUUUAAUUUUUUAAUUAAAAUAUGAGUUUAAAUUUAGAAGUUAAAUUUAUAAUUUUAAAUUUUAAUUUGAAUUUGAAGUAAAAAUUAAAAUUUAAUCAAGUAUUUCGAAUAUAAUGUAUGAAUUUUAAUUUAAAUAAAGUUUUAUUCAAAUUUUAUUUAAAACUUAAAUUAAAUUUGUGGAUUCAAAUUAAAAUUUAAAUUGUAAUUUUAAGUUUGAAUCUUAAUAAAUCGAAGUUUAGUUUUAUAUUUUGAAUUAUUUACUCAACAUCAAAGUUUAAUUUUUUUUUAAAAAAAAUAGAUUUAAAAUUUUGAUGUUAUUUCAAAAUUUUGAUGUAAACUUUUAAUAUUUAAUUUUUAUUUUGAAUUUAAAUUAAUAUAUUAUAAAGAUAAAGUUAGUAUAUUAAUUUGAUUACGUUUUUUAUAUAUAUCUGAACCAAACACCGACAAUGUAUAUGAUUUAUUCCGAUUCCGAUUCAGAUAACGAACCAAACAGAAUUAGGUAAUGAGUCAUUCUGAUUUCGAUUUCGAUUUCAGCUUAUUUUGAUUCCGAUUCUGACUUCGAACCAAACGCGCCCCUAAAAUAGUUACCACUAUUUUUCU